UACGGAGGGUGCAAGCGUUGUCCGGAUUUAUUGGGUUUAAAGGGUGCGUAGGCGGCGGGGUAAGUCGGAUGUGAAAUCCCAGGGCUCAACCCUGGAACUGCAUUCGAUACUGCCUUGCUAGAGUACUGGAGAGGAGACUGGAAUUUACGGUGUAGCAGUGAAAUGCGUAGAUAUCGUAAGGAAGACCAGUGGCGAAGGCGAGUCUCUGGACAGUUACUGACGCUGAGGCACGAAGGCCAGGGGAGCAAACGGG
rnacentral:rRNA from 1 species